CGAGGGUGCAAGCGUUAAUCGGAAUUACUGGGCGUAAAGCGAGUGUAGGCGGCUACCUAAGUCGGAUGUGAAAGCCCCGGGCUCAACCUGGGAAUUGCAUUCGAAACUGAGUAGCUAGAGUUUGGUAGAGGUAAGUGGAAUUCCGGGUGUAGCGGUGAAAUGCGUAGAUAUCGAGAGGAACACCAGUGGCGAAGGCGAGUCCCUGGACAAUUCCUGACGCUGAGGCACGAAAGCUAGGGGAGCAAACAGGAUUAGAUACCCGAGUAGUCC
rnacentral:rRNA from 1 species